rnacentral:misc_RNA from 1 species
GCUUUCUAUAUGUUAGUACUCUCAGUGGCAAAUCCAGGAAAACUUUUUCUGGGGUCAACAUAUAAAAAAUACAUUUAUUAAAAAUAAAAAUUUUAAUUUAAUUUUCAAGUGUUAGGAGCUAAAUAUUUAAAAACUAAGUAAUACAAAAUUAAGCCUAUCUAAUCAAUUUCUUAUGUCAAAAUAAGAGAAAAAACUAGCCAAAUUCAAGCAAUACACAUAAAUAAACAACUUAAUUUUAACUUUCAAAAGAUGGUUCAAUAAUUAAUUUUAUGAGGGUACAUAUAUAAACUAAAUUUUUUAAUAAAAAAAGAGGUCAAUUGACCCGUUAUUUUCUAUUGUGCAUCCGUCACUGAGUACUAACACAGAAAAAUCGUUUGUG